rnacentral:pre_miRNA from 1 species
UGUUUAUCACCAGAUCCUAGAACCCUAUCAAUAUUGUCUCUGCUGUGUAAAUAGUUCUGAGUUAGUGCAAUAUUGCUUAUAGGUUAUUGGUGUUUGGAAGACAAUGGCAGG